rnacentral:rRNA from 1 species
GGGCCUCACACCUAAAGAUGAGCCCAAGCGGGAUUAGCUAGUUGGUGGGGUAAAGGCUCACCAAGGCGACGAUCCCUAGCUGUUCUGAGAGGAUGAUCAGCCACACUGGGACUGAGACACGGCCCAGACUCCUACGGGAGGCAGCAGUGGGGAAUAUUGCACAAUGGGGGAAACCCUGAUGCAGCCAUGCCGCGUGUGUGAAGAAGGCCUUCGGGUUGUAAAGCACUUUCAGCGACGAGGAAGGGUGUUGUGUUAAUAGCGCAGCACAUGAC